GAAUCUGCCUGGUAGUGGGGGAUAACGUUCGGAAACGGACGCUAAUACCGCAUACGUCCUACGGGAGAAAGCAGGGGACCUUCGGGCCUUGCGCUAUCAGAUGAGCCUAGGUCGGAUUAGCUAGUUGGUGGGGUAAUGGCUCACCAAGGCGACGAUCCGUAACUGGUCUGAGAGGAUGAUCAGUCACACUGGAACUGAGACACGGUCCAGACUCCUACGGGAGGCAGCAGUGGGGAAUAUUGGACAAUGGGCGAAAGCCUGAUCCAGCCAUGCCGCGUGUGUGAAGAAGGUCUUCGGAUUGUAAAGCACUUUAAGUUGGGAGGAAGGGUUGUAGAUUAAUACUCUGCAAUUUUGACGUUACCGACAGAAUAAGCACCGGCUAACUCUGUGCCAGCAGCCGCGGUAAUACAGAGGGUGCAAGCGUUAAUCGGAAUUACUGGGCGUAAAGCGCGCGUAGGUGGUUUGUUAAGUUGGAUGUGAAAUCCCCGGGCUCAACCUGGGAACUGCAUUCA
rnacentral:rRNA from 1 species